UACGGAAGGCAGCAGUGGGGAAUAUUGCACAAUGGGCGCAAGCCUGAUGCAGCCAUGCCGCGUGUAUGAAGAAGGCCUUCGGGUUGUAAAGUACUUUCAGUCGUGAGGAAGGUGUUAAGGUUAAUAACCUUAGCAAUUGACGUUAGCGACAGAAGAAGCACCGGCUAACUCCGUGCCAGCAGCCGCGGUAAUACGGAGGGUGCGAGCGUUAAUCGGAAUUACUGGGCGUAAAGGGCACGCAGGCGGUUAAUUAAGUUGGAUGUGAAAUCCCCGGGCUUAACCUGGGAAUGGCACUCAAGACUGGUUAGCUAGAGUCUUGUAGAGGGGGUAGAAUUCCAUGUGUAGCGGUGAAAUGCGUAGAGAUGUGGAGGAAUACCGGUGGCGAAGGCGGCCCCUGGACAAAGGCUGACGCUCAUGUGCGAAAGCGUGGGGAGCGAAAC
rnacentral:rRNA from 1 species